GACAGAGGGGGCUAGCGUUGUUCGGAAUGACUGGGCGUAAAGGGCGUGUAGGCGGUUGGUUAAGUCGGGUGUGAAAGCCUGGGGCUCACCCCCAGAAGUGCAUCCGAAACUAGCCAGCUGGAGCGCGAUAGAGGAGGGUGGAAUUCCUGGUGUAGCGGUGAAAUGCGUAGAUAUCAGGAGGAGCACCGGCGGCGAAGGCGGCCCUCUGGAUCGUUGCUGACGCUGAGACGCGAAAGCGUGGGGAGCAAACAGG
rnacentral:rRNA from 1 species